rnacentral:rRNA from 1 species
GACGAACCGUGCGAACGUUAUUCGGAAUCACUGGGCUUAAAGCGCGUGUAGGCGGGAUGGUACGUCGGCCGUUGAAAUCCCCCGGCUCAACCGGGGAACGGGCGCCGAUACGGCCACCCUUGAGGAACGUAGGGGGACCUGGAACUUCCGGUGGAGCGGUGAAAUGCGUUGAGAUCGGAAGGAACGCCCGUGGCGAAAGCGAGGUCCUGGACGUUUACUGACGCUGAGACGCGAAAGCCAGGGGAGCAAACGGG